UCCUCUUUUUCCUCCAUGUGCGCCGAUGACAAAUCAAUGUAUUAUCCCCUUCAUCUGUGUGACAGAACACUGAGGUUCAGCUGAGCCAAAUAUAUGUUAUGACUACAGGCGUGUGUGUGGCCAGAAGUAUCUGAACACAUUCAUUUGUCUUCAUGCUUCCACCAAAAGCAAGGCUACGAAAGAUUCCAACGCAAAACCGUGGAUGAAGAAAAGAAAGAAUCCGUAGGAGUCGGAUCAUGAUCGCACCGAUUCGGAACGAGGCCGCGAGCCCGGCCAUCCGGAAGAGGUCUCUCAUUUCUGCAAACAUUCUUCCUACGGAGAGGAACACAAGUCUCGGGCACACAACCGCUGCCCACAGCGCCGAGAGGGAGAGGCGGCGCUCCUACUGGACCUGCUACUGUCUAAACUGGGAGAGGAUAUCCAUAGGAAAGCAAUAACUAGCAGAGGGUUGUUAGCCUUAAGAGCUUGGCCUGCCAUCAACCUCUUCCUGUUUCUUCCACACGCUAGCUUUUUUUUUUCUUUUUCUUAUCUGUAGCCUUGUUUCACUGGGUUUUUUCAGAGGCGAGCACACAAAAGAACUCUCUGGCUUUUAGAUGACGCACCACAAAGGGAUGCACUCCAACAUUGCUGCAGGAGGAGUUGUAUGAAUGUUUCUGUUUGCAGCUUCGUCUCUUCAGACAUCAUCUAAGGCGAGCAGGCUCCGUGUUUGGAAAUUAGUUGCCCAAGAUAAAGAUACCACAAGAUAAAUUGAACAUAAUGUCGAUGUACGUUCAAAUAAAUGAAGCUAAUUCUGAAGAUGG